ACAUAUUAGUUUUGCAUCUCCGAGGUGCUCAGUUGCAUCUGCACAGUGAGCGAGGAAACUAGGCACAAUGGUCAACCAUCCGUCCGAAGGGCAGAGCUUGGCGGCAACCUACUGCAUCCUCUUGCUGCUUCUCGGGGCACUCUGGAUGUUAUACUCCGUCUUUUAAACCAGUGUUGCGGUUAAAACUCAAGAGACCAAUGAAGCAGGUGAAUAGUAAAAAAAAAACUAAAAUGAAUGUAACAUAAGAGAGCCGUAAUUUUAGUAUCUAAGUUAUUAAUUUAAGUAUGUCACAUACCCAAGCAUUUAAAAAUCCGUUAGACCGGAAGAACAUCGAUGGAAGUAGCUCAAAACUGCCAGAAGACCAUAACGAGUAGACCGGAAAGACCACGGACACGGACGGUGCUGGGCAUUCCAAUUUAAAAAAAUCUCCUGACCAACGAGGCCUAGGCCGCUAGAAAAGUAAACAACGAGAAAGACAUCUUUGUACUUCAAAUUAACAUGAACGACACGUUUUUUUUGUUCCUAGUUUGUAAUCGUUGCUCGAUGCGUAUCAACCUGUCUUUAGAUUAUCGUUAUGGUGUAAGAGUUUUGUAAUAAACGUUGUUUUUUAAGUAUC